AGCGAACGCUGGCGGCAGGCCUAACACAUGCAAGUCGAACGAACCUUUCGGGGUUAGUGGCGGACGGGUGAGUAACACGUGGGAACGUGCCUUUAGGUUCGGAAUAACUCAGGGAAACUUGUGCUAAUACCGAAUGUGCCCUUCGGGGGAAAGAUUAAUCGCCUUUAGAGCGGCCCGCGUCUGAUUAGCUAGUUGGUUGAGGUAAUGGCUCACCAAGGCGACGAUCAGUAGCUGGUCUGAGAGGAUGAUCAGCCACAUUGGGACUGAGACACGGCCCAAACUCCUACGGGAGGCAGCAGUGGGGAAUCUUGCGCAAUGGGCGAAAGCCUGACGCAGCCAUGCCGCGUGAAUGAUGAAGGUCUUAGGAUUGUAAAAUUCUUUCACCGGGGACGAUAAUGACAGUACCCGGAGAAGAAGCCCCGGCUAACUUCGUG
rnacentral:rRNA from 1 species